rnacentral:lncRNA from 1 species
CAGUGCUUUACCACAAAACAGGACAAAAACAAACAUCACCUUAUAUUUGGACUGGUUUUAUUUGGCUGAUGCUUCCAAACAUCACAAAAAUGCAAACAACCUCUGAACUCUGACCUAGAGAUAGCAUCCUAGUGCACACUAGCUGUUCACAAACAGAGUAUCAGUGUGGCAAGGUGCUCCUCUCUGUUGCUUUCUUUGUCUCGUCGAGGCGUGAGUGAUUAAGCUUGCGUUAGGAGUCAUUAUCUGAGUGUUUGCACAGCUCCGUCUGUCCUGAAUAGGCCCAGUGGGUAAACACAAACGUAAUACAGGAUACACUUGCACAAGAGACUCAAGGUCUUUUCAUAGUCAAACACACUCACCACUAGUGCAAUUCACCCCACCCCCACCCAAAUAAAAAAUAACCACUGACUAAUUUAAACAUCCUCAUUACAGUAAGAUGAGUAACAUGUGGCAUCUUCCCAGGCUUUUUUUUCAUUUCAUUUUGUUUUCUUUUUUUUUUUCUUAUUUUCUAUUUUGUUUAUUUGUUUAAGCUCUUUUUCUAGUAAGCCUAACCAGUGUAACUAUCACAUUUUCUAUUCAAUUCAGGGUGGAAACCAUGUCAUAGUUCAGGACUCAUUAAAUAAUUAAAAGCUUAAUUUCACACAAUGAUAUAAAUGAUGACACCUGUUACACCAAAAACAGAAAUUAUAUAGCCUCUAUUAGUUAUAUAUAUAUAGAUAUAAGUUUCAUAGAUAGAUAGAUAGAUAGAUAGAUAGAUAGAUGGGGCCGUUUUUUCCACACGGAUGACUGUCAGUGGCCCCUGGUGAAAAAGGGGUUGGGGCCUGAAAGUCGUGGGCGUGUCAUUGCGGGUGGAGUAUUUUCACUCCACUGAACCUCUUCGAAGUGAGUAAUUACUGGCUCCGCAGCCAACAGAGGGAACACACGCUCUGCUACACAGAAAAAUAUGGUCUCAACAAACUAGUAGAAGAGUUUGGCGUGGAAUUGUGUAGUUUAUACCUGUUAAAGUGCGUGAAAGGACUCCAAUGGACUGCUAGGAAACACACUGGAAAUGGCAAGAAGCACCUGAAACCUGUUGCUCUGAGCACUAAUACGAAAGUUGUUGAAUCCGCCGGAUUGCAUUCAUCGGAUACAUUCACCUGCCAUGUGGAAUUUAAAGCAGAUCAGAAAGGAAACCGCCGCGGGAAAUGAACUUUCGACCUUAACACGGUUUACUCGGUGAAUGAUUGACCAUUUAGUCCACAGAUGCGCGUGCUUUUCCAUGGUACGUUCUGACGCUCAAUCCUAUGUUUAUGAUUUUCUGUAGAAUUAUUAAGCUAUUGUUUGAUUUAACUGUAGUUGUUCUCUGACUCUUUCAGCCCGUGUUUAGGAUCAUGGUCUGUAUGAAAUGCACUCACACAGUUGGAAGAAAAUGCGCUCGGGAUCUGGAAUGAAACUUCACUGUGAUUUACAACCUUGUGGACUGUGGACAUGCUGCUGGAGCAAUUAAGGUUUCCUUUUGGGAUUUCUUCUUUCCGAAACGCAGCCAUAAAUUAAAAAAAGAAAGAAAGGAAGUAAGGGGAAAAACCUGAGCUGAGAAAAUACUCAAGAAUU